CCGCGUUUCACGUCUCAUCGGAUUAAGGCUUCAAUGUCCUCCUCUUCGCAGAACUCAACCUGGCCGUUUCCUCUUUACCGGUCCUCUACUCAUCUCUUCACCUCCUCCGAUGUUAUUUCUUCACCUCCCUGAAGUUCAAUGUAUUUUUUUAAUUCGGCAAUUACUGUCGACGCCUCCGUUUCCUUCGUGCGGAAUCUAUAUAUAUCAGCGAGUUGAGAGUAGAAAGGAUCUUCGGAACCUCUGUCAGAAUCUCAUUUUCUUAAGCGUUUAAUUUAUCUCAAAAAUAUCUUCCUCCGAUGCCGUUCUCGCGUAAUCAGGCUUUGAAGCCCUCCAUGUAGGAAGACCUGCUCAAAUCAUUGUAGGUCGUCUGCUCCUUUUUUGGGACUCCAAAAACAUCAAGAAGCAGAGUGAAUUAAUGGGGAUCACUCUUAUCCUCCUUCGUGAGAACUGAGAAGAUAUCUCGCAUCAGUGGUUCUUCAAAUGAAGCUUGCAAACUACUAGAGCUUACUAUGAUACGUUGCAUGCUUCUCACGUAUCCACAUCUACGAGGUACACGAGAGGCUAGGGCUCACAAAAUUCAUUGGCUUACAUCACCCCACAACAACCAUGAGUUUAUUCCCUUGUGAAGCUUUCAUGGCUUCAAACCCAUUAAUCUGUUUCCUCUGCAAGCUUUUCUAGCUCAUCUUCCUGUCUCCCCAAAUUUGUGAGGGAAUGACAACACAUGUGGUUGAUACGUCUGCCAUUCACAGAUUCAAGUCAUAAGAAGUACUGAAAAAUGAAAUUAAGAAGAGAAACCUUUUUAUAACAUUUUCCUUCGCUUUCUUCAAGAGUGAGACCCUUUGUAUCAUGCACAAUGAAGUAUAUGAAGAAGAGAGAGAACGCAUAUCACCCCAAAUUCACAGAUCAGUACUCAAGCUCCUACAGAAAAAUACCAGCCGAGAGCUAAAUGGGGAAUCUCUAGAGGGAGCGUCUCAAUAGAUCUGCAGUGUGAGUCCAAGCCAUGUUCAGGUCUAUGCAAGCUCAAGAGGAUGAAGCUCAUUUGGAGUAUGAGUGUGCAAGAUAUUUGAUCAGAAUGGUGGCUAUGGAUAUGUCAAUCUAAGAUAUUGAUAAAAUAGCAUAGAGGUUAAGGAGCAGACUGCUGAAACAUGAGGCAAGAAGCUUGAUGCGGCAUAUUGUGAAGGAUGUUCCAAACAGUGUGCUGAAACAUAUUACCCUUGAGAACAAUGAAAACAAGCCUGUUACUAACUCUAGAGGCACCCAAGAAGUAUCAGACCUGUCAAGUUGGAGCAAGGUUUAAAGAUUGUGAAAAUUUUCAAGGAGCAUACGAGCAAGAUUUGCAUUUUGAAUGACUUUUCCUUCUAUGAGGUUCGACAGAAGACUAUCUUGGAGAAGAAAGCGAAGCAACAGCAAACCCAUAAACAGGUAAGUGAGGAGAAUAGUACAGAGGAUGAGAAAAAGAAAUCUGAAACUGCUGAUCCGCCUCAUAAGGAAUCUCCUCCAGCUUUCAGACUACCGGUGAUGUCAAGGUUGAUGACUGUUUCUAAACCAGUUGAUGUGUAGAAAAUGGUUGUUAGAUAGAUUAGUCGAUGCUACUCACGGCUUGAGCAUAAACGAUUAAACGCAACAAGAAAGAAGGUUUCUCUUGAGAACGAGUGCGGUGAGCUUUGAAGCAAAGAGGAACUUUAGUACUUAAGACCGAGAACUGUUUCUUUGCCCUUGGAAAUUAAAAUCAAUUUUUUCAUAUCUAUUUUUGUUUGUUUUUACAUGUCUUUAUAAUUUUCUGUUUUUUCAUUUUUUCAUUUUCUGUUGAUGCUCCUACCCUGUAAAAUUGCUUAAUAUGACCUACUAAAUAGUGGGAAGUAGUAGGAAAAAAGGAGAUAAAAGCAGGGUGGUUUUGUUUUCGUU